CUGCUGCUGAUACUGCUGUUGCUGCAACUGUGUUAGGAACAGACCUCUUGUUCUUCCUAAACCAUUUCUUUUUUGAUUUUCCAGAUUCCUGAAAGUAGAGGCCAGAAUACAUUGAAUUGCUUACACAAGGUUGAUUAUAUGGGGUUAUUAAGAAUAAGUACAAACCUGAUUGUUCAUCUCCUUCUCCUCAGGUCCAUUUAGCGCUUUCUUCACUGAAGAGAACCAGUUUCCUUUUCUACCCAUUUUCGCAUUCGUUGACACACUCAAACACCUGGUUCAAAAUCAUGGGGUUGGCCAAAUUAGUUCAUUUAAUCUUCUCCAAAAUUCGAAAACCAAAACCUUGUUAAGAAGAUAACAAAGAUUUUGAUACAUGAUAAUACUCCCAGUCCCUAGAUCAUCAUCGAAAACAAAAACUCCUAGAUGAAUAAAACACAACCCGCAAAAGAUUUAAAUAACAGUUGGAAACUGCAUAACCAAUUUCAUAUGAUCAUAUCCCUCUCUAGGAACUAGACAAUUUGUUCUUUUUGCUCAUUUUUAUCAAUUUUGUAGAGAAUUUCAAUAAAAUUUAGCACACAAACUACCUUUAGCUGCACCUAAUUCUAAAUGUAUGCGGAGAAGAUGGAUUUUGUAGUUGACUUCUCAAAAUUCUUUUAGCAUACAUUAAAAAUAAUCUAAAAAACUCUAUGACAAAAGGUUUUAACUUGAAAAUUCAGUUUUUGUUCACAAAUCACAAAAUAAAAUUACCUUGAAUCACACAGCCAAAAAUGUUUAUGGCAACCCAUUGAACCGCACUAGAAAAUUACAAAAAUUCAAAAUCUAGUUGAUCAAAGACGAUGAAAAACUAGGAAAAAUCAUGGUAAAUUACAAAAUCAAUCAUAAAGAAAUGAAAAGAAAAUAAUUAGUAGGGAGCAGAGAAAAAUGAAUACCAGGUUAUAAUAAAAGUCUUAAAAGCUUGUGAUGAAAGAAAUGGGUGACAAAUGAUGUAUUUUGACAAAAGGUGUAUGAAGUUGUAAGAAGAGUCGACAAGUUAUUGCAGGCCAAAAUAAUAUUUGAAGGAUUAUUCAACGAUGUGAGUGGAGGUAUAUUAUUUUCAGUUUAUGGGAGCCAAAUAACGGUUACUACCAACCUCGUCGUUAGACGUUAGUGUUUCCCCACUACUUUCUUAAUAUAUGGAAUUGGAGGGAGAUAGGGGCUCCACCUUUUAAAGUUUUUGGACGGUCAAAUGGCAUAUACGGGUAUAGAGAUUGAAAUGGGUGGGAUUUGGUUCGGGUGGAGCAUCAUCAUCUGCAUUUAAUUCGUUCUACCUGGUCCAAUCGUCAUCUGUAUUCCGCUCAUCCAUCACCCGUAGGUGAACCAGGUGAAUUAGGUGAUAUUCAUGUGAAAAAUAUUAACUAUUAAAAAAUCACUACGUACAAAUAAUAUGCAUAAUAUUUAACAAACAAAAAAAAACUUGUAUACCUACUUUUACUUCUGAAACAUAUAAUUACUUUAUAAUGGAUUUACCAACACCUUUUAUGUUUUAAAAUAUAACUAAAAAUAAUAUUAUAUUAAAUAAUGAGUGACGGGUGGGGUGAUAAAUGGGUGAUGGAUAAAAGAAAAUAUCACCCGCGUCCAUCACCCUCUUUUCAUCCAUUUAAUUCGGGUUUUUUCCGUUUAAUUGUACAGGGUGACCGGAUUAUUGGAUCAGCACCGGAUAUUUUCAUCCCCACACGAAAGUAAGACUUGUUAUGUAAUCCCUCCGUGUUUGCCCUAUCAAAGGGUUAACCAAAGUUUAUCAAAAAAUUAAAAUAUAAAAUAAAAUAAAAGAGGUAGGCCUAAGAGAAUCAAUUGUAUGCUCACUCUUAAUUUGCCCUCUCUUAAUCUCUCUCCUUGUACACCUCAUCACUACCUCUUAUAUAGUUUUUUAAUAUUUUCAAUUUUAUUUUUAAUAGAAAAAGCAACCAAAAUACACCACAUUCUUCCACCUCACCCCACUCUUAGUUUUAAGAGCUACCUCUUAUUUAGAGGAAGUCCCAAUCAACCUCUAAAUAAGAGGUAGUUAAGAGUUAGCUCUUAUUUGUUAAGAGGUAACUCUUAAAUUUUCUCUCUUUAAGAGUGGAUUAAGAGAUACAUACAAUUGAUGCUCUAAUAAGAGUUACUCUUAUUUACCUACUCUUAAUUUCUCUCUUCAUCCACCUCAUCACCCUCUCUUAAUAAGAGUUACCUAUCAAAAAAUCCAAGAAAUAACUAUCUCUUAGUUACUCCCUCUUAAACAACUUUUACAUGUAUUUAUUUUUAUUUUUUGUAACAAAAAUGUCAAAAAAUGGUAUAAUAUUCUCAUAAUCAUCCACCCCACCCCACUCUUAUUUCUAAGAGUUACCUCUUAUUUAGAGAUGUCUUAAUCAACCUCUAAAUAAGAGGUAGCUAAGAGUUAACUCUUUUUUAUCCAGAGCUAACUCUUAAAAUUUCUCUCUCUUUAACAGUGGGCUAAGAGUCCACUACAAUUGAUGCUCUAACUCCUUUGUCCAGUGACAGAGCCAUAGGGAUGUCAGUGGGGCGGGUUUCGCGGGAGACCCGCCCCGCAUCCGCCCCAAGUAGGCGGGGAUGGAGGUAGGUUUGGCGGGUGAUGUAAUCCCCCGUAAAUUUAUAAAUUUUAUUAAUAUAUUUUAACGUAUAUUAUUUAUAUUUAAAUAGAAUUUAUGAAUUUUAAGUAAUAAAUAUAUAAUUAACGUAUAUUUAUUUUAUUUUAAGUACGUUCUAAAUAUUUAACGAUUUUUGAACUUUAUUAUAUUUAUAUAUUUAAUGUAUAUUUAAUUUUAUUUAAAUAUAUUCUAAAUAUUUUAACGAUUUGUGCAAUCAAGAAUAAUUUUAGAAUUUUAAGUUGAAAAGAAUUUGAAUUACGAAAAUUGAUUGAAUUUAGAAAAUGAUCCUAUUCAGUUUUGGAUUCGAAUCAUAAAAGCUAAAUCCUAAUUCUAGCCCACUUGGAAAAGCCCAACAUUAAAAUCCAAAGCCAAAACCCCACCCAAACCAUUUUCACGUAAAACACCAAAACCCUUUUGCUUUCUCUCUGUUUCACGUACAGCAGGCAACACUCAGCCGUUUUUCUCUCUCCUUCCUUCACGCCACUGCGUCCUGCUCAGUCGCCGGACCACCAGUCCGUCGCCGCCGCAGCAGUCACGAGCCUCACCGCCGUGAGUCUUCCUCGCCGUCAGCUCAACCCCGACCACCGCGCACGCCACCACCAUCGCGUGCCGCCACCGUAUGCAACCACCUUGCCCAGCCUCGCUGCCGCGCCUGCACUAUCGCCGGCCAGCACCUCCUCCUUCUCUUUUUGGCGGAGAAUUCUUUGUGGGCGACUUUUGAAUUCGUUAAAGUGGCCUAUCAGUUUGUUUACACAAGUCUCUAAGGAUCAAUAAGCAUUGUCCAUCUGCAGGUUUGAAGAUGUUGCAUCAUUGGGAUCGGGAAUAGAGAGCUUGUAUUUAGUUUUGAUUUGCUAAGUUAACUUGGGUUUGUUAAUUGGGACUUUAAACUUGUCGUACUAUUUAUAUUUCCUUAUUUUCGUUGGAUAAUUUUUGGGGACUAAAUCUGUAAUCGAUUAUUUAUAAACCUAAAGUUAGUUUUAUGUUUUCCGCUGCAAAAUUCUGAAUAAGCCGUUACGUUUUCACACGGGCGAUAAUGCCUUGAUAAUUCUCUACGUUGUAUAUUAAAAGAUUAUUUUAGAAAAGAGAGAAUUGUCGGGGUGUUACAAAAUGGUAUCAGAGCUAAGGUUUUACUUUAAUAAAUUUUUAGGCGCCUAACUA